rnacentral:rRNA from 1 species
AUACGGAGGGGGUUAGCGUUGUUCGGAAUUACUGGGCGUAAAGCGUACGUAGGCGGAUCGGAAAGUAAGGGGUGAAAUCCCAGGGCUCAACCCUGGAACUGCCUCUUAAACUCCCGGUCUUGAGUUCGAGAGAGGUGAGUGGAAUUCCGAGUGUAGAGGUGAAAUUCGUAGAUAUUCGGAGGAACACCAGUGGCGAAGGCGGCUCACUGGCUCGAUACUGACGCUGAGGUACGAAAGUGUGGGGAGCAAACAGGAUUAGAUACCCUAGUAGUCC